CUCAGAAGCUGUAUACGCUGCCUGUAUUUUGCUGCUACUAUAAUAUGGACAGGAUGUGAAUUCUUAAAGUUCACUGAUAAACCUGUACUUCAGAGAAGAUACCCACUGACUGAGAACUGUGCCACGGAGGGUAAGGGAAAAAGAGUGUGCUGAAGCUUUCCCAGACCCUGUAAGCUUGAACUUCAUAAUUAUAGCAUGAUGACACCCAAGUACUUGCAACAGAUGAAAUGCUACCAGGUGCAGACAGAUGCCAUAGAAGCAGUUCUCAGAUUCCGGAAAUAAAUAUCUCAUGGCAAUAUGUUGGUGCCACCUCCCUGCCAGCCAUGGAUUCUUUCCACGCAGAAGGAGAUUAUUCCCCUGCCCUCACUAACUUUACUGGUAACAUUUGCAGAACAUGCAAUAUCAUCGUCAUGCCAUGGCUGGCAACAUAUUUCCCACUGAAAUGCAAUAUUGGUGCCCCUGUCCUGUUUCAGGACCAUACACUGCAGGCAAAACUAGUUGACACAUCUGCUCAUCCAUUAUGUGUGGUGCAGGAUCAGGAGAGGAGCUACUCUACAAAUACACAACAUACUAGCGCCGUGGCCAUGGAGCAUGAAACGGCGGGAGGUGGAAGGAUCAAACAGCUCAACAAAAAUGAAAAAAGCUGAUUACAAAAAGGUAAGGGAGGGGACUAGAAGCCCUGCAAGGAACCUGAGUUUCCCUGAGAGUCCCACUCCCUGGCCUAAGUCUGCCUAAAUCCAGACCUAAUGGCUAGCCAUGUCUGUUACUGUGAGAAAACAAACUCAUUCUGAAAAUACAGGUACCUGUUUAUUUGGUGCUAUUAGGCGACAAGAAAAUGUUAUGUUUGCGCUAAUGAUUUGCACAGUUACUGGUUAUUUCCAAACAAGGUGGAUUUUUUUGAAUUAAAAUUCCAAGUGACCUGAACGAAC
rnacentral:lncRNA from 1 species